rnacentral:rRNA from 1 species
UACGGAGGAUGCAAGCGUUAUCCGGAUUUAUUGGGUUUAAAGGGUGCGUAGGCGGAUAUGUAAGUCAGCGGUGAAACUCGCAGGCUCAACCUGUGCCGUGCCGUUGAAACUGUGUAUCUGGAAUGCGGAUGCUGUGGGAGGAAUGUGUAGUGUAGCGGUGAAAUGCAUAGAUAUUACACAGAACACCGAUUGCGAAGGCAUCUCACAAAGCCGUUAUUGACGCUGAGGCACGAAAGUGUGGGGAUCGAAA